AUUGAACGCUGGCGGCAGGCCUAACACAUGCAAGUCGAGCGAGCGGCGGACGGGUGAGUAAUGUAUGGGGACUGCCCGAUAGAGGGGGAUAACUACUGGAAACGGUAGCUAAUACCGCAUACUAUCGGAUAACCCAUAUGGGAUUAGCUAUUAGGUGAGGUAAUGGCUCACAUAGGCGACGAUCCCUAGCUGGGCUGCGAGGAUGAUCAGCAAACCUGGGACGGAGACACGGCCCAGCCUCCUCCGGAGGCAGCAGUGGGGAAUAUUGCACAAUGGGCGCAAGCCUGAUGCAGCCAUCCCGCGUGUAUGAUGAAGGCCUUCGGGUUGUAAAGUACUUUUGGCAGAGAGGCGGUAUCUGCAGAAUAAGCACCGGCUAACUACGUGCCAGCCGCCGCGGUAAUAC
rnacentral:rRNA from 1 species